rnacentral:rRNA from 1 species
GACAGAGGGUGCAAACGUUGUUCGGAAUUACUGGGCGUAAAGCGCGUGUAGGCGGCUUGGCAAGUCGGAUGUGAAAGCCCAGGGCUCAACCCUGGAAGUGCACUCGAAACUGCCGAGCUGGAGUCCCGGAGAGGAAGGCGGAAUUCUCGGUGUAGAGGUGAAAUUCGUAGGUAUCGAGAGGAACACCUGUGGCGAAGGCGGCCUUCUGGACGGUGACUGACGCUGAGACGCGAAAGCGUGGGGAGCAAACAGG